rnacentral:rRNA from 1 species
UACAGAGGUCUCAAGCGUUGUUCGGAUUCACUGGGCGUAAAGCGCACGUAGGCGGAUUGUUAAGUCAGGGGUGAAAUCCUGGAGCUCAACUCCAGAACUGCCUUUGAUACUGGCGAUCUUGAGUCCGGGAGAGGUGAGUGGAACUGCGAGUGUAGAGGUGAAAUUCGUAGAUAUUCGCAAGAACACCAGUGGCGAAGGCGGCUCACUGGCCCGGUACUGACGCUGAGGUGCGAAAGCGUGGGGAGCAAACAGG